rnacentral:rRNA from 1 species
AGGUAAUAGAUACCCGGGUAGUCCACGCCGUAAACGUUGGGCACUAGGUGUGGGCUCCAACCAACGGAGUCCGUGCCGUCGCUAAACGCAUUAAAGUGCCCCGCCUGGGGAGUACGGCCGCAAGGCUAAAACUCAAAGGAAUUGACGGGGCCCCGCACAAGCAGCGGAGCGUGUUGCUUAAUUCGAUGCGACGCGAAGAACCUUACCUGGGCUUGACAUGCAGGGAAAAGCCGUAGAGAUACGGUGUCCUUGGGCCGUUGCACAGGUGGUGCAUGGCUGUCGUCAGCUCGUGUCGUGAGAUGUUGGGUUAAGUCCCGCAACGAGCGCAACCCUUGUCCUAUGUUGCCAGCGGAUAACGCCGGGGACGUCGUAGGAGACUGCCGGGGUCGAACUCGGAGGAAGGUGGGGAUGACGUCAAGUCAUCAUGCCCCUUAUGUCCAGGGCUGCAAACACGCUACAAUGGCCGGUACAAAGGGCUGCUAUCCCGCGAGGGUGAGCGAAUCCCAGAAAGCCGGUCUCAGUUCGGAUUGGAGUCUGCAACUCGACUCC